UACGAAGGGGGGCUAGCGUUGCUCGGAAUGACUGGGCGUAAAGGGCGCGUAGGCGGAGUGCUUUGUCGGGCGUGAAAUUCCAGGGCUCAACCUUGGGGCUGCGUUCGAGACGGGCAUUCUUGAGUGGGGAAGAGGGUCGUGGAAUUCCCAGUGUAGAGGUGAAAUUCGUAGAUAUCAGGAGGAACACCAAUGGCGAAGGCAGCUCGCUGGGACGGUACUGACGCUGAGACGCGAAAAGCGUGGGGAGCAAACAGG
rnacentral:rRNA from 1 species